AGCUCAUCACAGAUGACUUUGUGAAGCAGAAGUAAGUAUCACCUGAGCUAACUGCGGCUCUCACUCGAGCAUCCUUUGUGUGCUGGUCUGGCUGAGAAAGCAGUUCCCUAUCCCAAAUCUUCAACUGGAGGGAUGGGUGCCUCUGACCUGGGAGUGAGUGGCAGUGGGGGUAUGCGAGUGUGUGGGGAGCCGAAGGCCAGGGCGGUCUUGGGAAAAGGGAGCUCACGUCACCUGAGAACACGGUGUGGGGUGUGAAAACGGCCGCCAUCACCUUGAGCACCUGCCCUGUAGACUGACACAAAGAAUUCCUUCUCGACACAGCACCCUAGGCGGCUUCUUCCUGUCAGUCGGAGGUGGCAUGCAAGAUGAAGCUCUCUUUGCUCUUCCUGCUUUCAUUUUGUGCUUUUCCUUGUGCUUUCAUGUUUUGGGUAUCAGUGUUACAUUAAAG
rnacentral:sRNA from 1 species